ACUCAAUGUGUCCCUCUGUGCCAGAGUGUCGACACACCAGGUCCUUACACGAGCAUUCUGAUGCAUGGUGACCUGGCUUACCACAGCAGUAACAUUCCUGACUUCCCACACUUCUGUGGGUAGGUUCUUGUGACACCUUAUGCACCCUAGGAGAUGCACCGAUGGAUUGCGCCUCCUUUGUUGCCAGCUCCAUAGAGACCGCAAUGUCAACAGCCUUCUGUAAGAUCAGUCAGCAGCAAUCUUUAUGCUACAGAAUACUAAGUGAUUUUACAGUAACUGAUCUUGAAUAAGUUCAAGGAUCAUAAUCAACUGAACAGCAGAGAGAGAGAGAGAUGAAGAGUUCUUCCCUGAGCAACUGGAGGUCAGCACUGUUGUGGAAGACAAAGCUAGCGCAUGCUUCAAACAUUUCUGCCGGGAAAUCCCAAUUUGCAAAGCAUCUGCUCACUUGCGGAGACGCUCACAAGUUUUGGUAUACCUCAGUCCAAGCUUCCCAAAGUCAGGGAGGAGAGCUGCACCUGCCUGGUAAUCAGAGAGAAAAACUGCACUGCUGAAGCUGCUCCUGAUGAUGUUGACCUUUCUGAAGUGUGGGAGAUGUAACAGUUGCCUCAAUAAACAUUUUAUGGUGAUGCAUAAUUACAAGAGCAACCCUACAUGUUCAACAGUGAUGAUGUAACCUCGAAGCUGGAGGGAACCUCCAUGAAGGAGACUGUUUCAUCACUCACUUCCCUAGAUGCUCUGUAGCCUCUCAUAAUUUUUUGGAAACUAGACACAGCUGCAGAAGCAGGGUAUGUGCCUGCACUGAACAAGAAGGCAUGCAGUGCCCACUGCGAUCCCUUUCCUCUGAGCCUGUAUCCUGACAGUAUGAAAAAAUCUUUCUCAACAUUCAAAAAUGCCAGUAUGGGACACUUCCAAAUAUGAGAGCUACCACUCGCCAACAUUGGGGAUUGAAUAGAUGACCUCCAAAGUUACAAGCAUAAGUCUUUGUAGGUUGUCCUAAAAAGCCGAAGUCUCAAACUGAGAGCUGUGAGACUCCCAUCCUUUGUGGACUGGAUACUGGGGGACAUGAACAUGGGUACAUGGGGAGUGGAACACAUAGCACACUGAACUGUAGGUUACACAACUAAAUGUGUGACAAAUGACUGAAAUGUGAAUCUUGUGUGUUCUGCUUUUUCACACUGUAGUUUGUAGAUUAUCACAGUUUUUACGUACAAAAUGUGUAUUCGAGAGUACACUGAGUACAUCACAUGCACCAACCGCUGUCCCUCUCGAUCAGCAGCAGUGUUUGCCCUCCUUGACUUUCAGAUCCCUAUGUUAGAUUUAAGUGCUAGCCCCUUUGAAUAGCAGCCAUGGGAGGAGGGCUUGGCACACACUUUCACACUGUGUUACAAAACUAGUUACUAUUCAGCAGAGAAGUAUGGCUUAUAGUAGUGGCUAGAGAUAGCAUAACCCAAACUGGUUUAGUCACUCAGAAAGGCAGUGCAGUGGAUAAUAUUGGGGCGUGUCAUAUGAGAGACUGUGUUCUGUGCCUUCACCUAUUAGCAAUCUGAUAAUGAAUGAAAAACAGAAGCAGGGAGAAGGGACCAGGUUUCAUCAGCUGUUCCAAACUGCCUUCCCUGUUGGGUAGGGUGACCAGAUCACCACACUAAAAUAUCGGGACACAUUGGGGUGCCAUCAGCCCUACCCACAGUCCACUCCCACUCCUCCCAGCCUCUGCCCCCACUCUUCCCCAGGUCCCGCCCUCUCCCCGCUCACUCCCCUCAUGCCCUUCCUCAUCCCCCAGCUGCCACUGGGUUGCUGCAUCCCUCCUCAGUCCCCUACCCACCGCUCACCUCCCCACCCGCCCACCUCUUCACCCCCCCCCGCCUGCCACUCACCCCUAUGGCACCGACUCUCCCUCUGCUGGCUGGGUGCUUGCCCACCCCCCGCCUCUUUCUGCCCCUGCACCGCCCUCGCCUCGCCCCCAUUCCACCGCCUUCCCCCAAAUCCCCACCCCUGCCCUCCCUCUUCUCCACCUCCUACCCUGAGCGCACCACAUCCCCACUCCUCCCCUCUCCUGGAAAGCGCUAAGUGCUGCCAAACAGCAGGGAUGCAGCGUGCUGGGAGGAUAGGGGGAGAAGGAGGUGAGAAGGGGGGAGCUUGGCUGCAAUUUUUUCCCCAUGGGUGCUGCAGCCCUGGAGCACCCACGGGGUCAGCGCCUCCCUCCCGCUCACCUCCUUACCUGAAUAUCGGGACAAAUGGUGUCCUGAUUGGACAUUGAUCAGGAUGCGGGACAAACGGUUAAAUAUCAGGACACCUGGUCACCCUAGUGCUGGGGCUUAUAAACUUAGUGAGUUGCAUGGGAAUUCAAACAAAAGUUAGAAGAGAUGAGAUUUGACCUGUCAGUUGCCUCUUUCCCAGCUCAGGCAACUUUCCCCUAGGCUAGUAGGAUAUUUGCUGAAUCUCUCAGUCUCUCUGUUCCAGAUGUGAGUGACAGAACUCACAGCACAGCAGAUCUGUCAUCAAAUUAAAAUCCUUUGAGUUCAGUUUGGCACACAUUUUCUGUUAUGGACAAAAAGUUAUGAAAUGCUCUGUAGACAAACACUGCCCAUGCAUAACCAAUAUUCUAGGAAUUGGCACAUGAGGAGUAACAACGUGGAAAAAGGCUGGGUCCCAGAGAGUGUUAGAUUUCUUACACAAGGGUUACAAAGAAAAGCAGUCCAGUGAAUAAUCACCAAAGGGGAUAAUAUUUUAAUUCUUCUUUUUGAAUCAAUUUAUUUUUCAUCAAACCACCACAAAAAACUUCAGUACUGUAAUACUCAAAGCCUAUAGCCUGUGGUUUGUUUUUUGCCAUUUCAGUGACAUCUUUUACAAAAUUAAGUUUUAAAGAUGUAAAGAUAAAUUUAAAAAAAAAAAAGUAUA